UACGUAGGGCGCGAGCGUUAUCCGGAAUUAUUGGGCGUAAAGAGCUCGUAGGCGGUUUGUCGCGUCUGCCGUGAAAGUCCGGGGCUCAACUCCGGAUCUGCGGUGGGUACGGGCAGACUAGAGUGAUGUAGGGGAGACUGGAAUUCCUGGUGUAGCGGUGAAAUGCGCAGAUAUCAGGAGGAACACCGGUGGCGAAGGCGGCAUCCUGGACCAAUACUGACGCUGAGGAGCGAAAGCCAGGGGAGCAAACGGG
rnacentral:rRNA from 1 species